CAAAGGUUUGGUCCUGGCCUUUCCAUUAGUUAUUAACAGGAUUACACAUGCAAGUCUCCGCAUCCCGGUGAAAAUGCCCUCUAAAUCACCAACCGACCUAAAGGAGCAGGCAUCAAGCACACACACACGUAGCUUAUGACGCCUUGCUUAGCCACACCCCCACGGGAUACAGCAGUGGUAAAAAUUAAGCCAUGAACGAAAGUUCGACUAAGCCAUGUUAAAUAGGGUUGGUAAAUUUCGUGCCAGCCACCGCGGUCAUACGAUUAACCCGAACUAAUAGACAUACGGCGUAAAGCGUGUUACAGAGCAAAUUCCAACGAUAAAGUUAAAUCUUAACUAAGCCGUAGAAAGCUGCAGUUAAUGUGAAAAUAAGACACGAAAGUAGCUUUAACACAUCCGAUCACACGAUAGCUAAGACCCAAACUGGGAUUAGAUACCCCACUAUGCCUAGCCCUAAACUCAGAUAGAUAAUUAAACAAACCUAUCCGCCAGAGAACUACUAGCAACAGCUUAAAACUCAAAGGACUUGGCGGUGCUUUACAUCCCUCUAGAGGAGCCUGUUCUAUAAUCGAUAAACCCCGAUACACCUCACCAUCCCUUGCUAAUCCAGUCUAUAUACCGCCAUCCUCAGCAAACCCUAAAAAGGAAGAAUAGUAAGCACAAGUAUCUUAACAUAAAAAAGUUAGGUCAAGGUGUAGCCCAUGGGAUGGGAAGCAAUGGGCUACAUUUUCUACGUCAGAACACCCCUAUACGAAAAUUCUUAUGAAACUAAGAAUCAAANNNNNNNNNNNNNNNNAAUUAAGAAUAGAGAGCUUAAUUGAAUAGGGCCAUAAAGCACGCACACACCGCCCGUCACCCUCCUCAAGUGAUACACAACCUAAAAAAUCCUAUUUAACUGGCAACAAACACAAGAGGAGACAAGUCGUAACAAGGUAAGCACACCGGAAGGUGUGCUUGGAUA
rnacentral:ncRNA from 1 species